rfam:Scytonema hofmannii PCC 7110 genomic scaffold Scaffold1, whole genome shotgun sequence.
GGUAACCGAAGAUGACACCAGGGUUCAAAGUUGGGUUGGUAAUGACGCGAACAUCACCACCACCAGGUGCCCAAGUGUCAUACAAACCGCCAAAGAACAUUGCUUUCAGUACCAACAGCAAAGCACCACAUCCCAAGAUAAUGAGAUGGAAGCCGAUGAUGUUGGUCAUCUUGUUCUUGUCUUUCCA